rnacentral:piRNA from 1 species
UCAAAGUAAGAUCUCGGCCAGGUGCA